ACAUUAGUCCAAAAAAUCUUUUCCCUUUAAAAUAAAUAAACUUAAGGCACCUCAGUUAACUUCAUUCCUUAGUGGGGACAAAAUCGUAAAAAUGUCGAAGAAGAAAAAGCACAGCUCAGACUCCGACGAAGACGACACCUUCUACUACCGUUACUCCUCCGCACCAUCACCGGCGCCGCCAUCCUCCGCCGCCACAUCCAAAACCCUAACAAAACCCUCACACGUCAGCAAAACCCUAGCUCCAUCAAAAUCAACAGUAUACGUAGGUAAUCUCGAUUAUACCCUUACAAAUUCCGAUCUCCACACAAUCUUCUCAACCUUCGGUAAAGUAGCAAAAGUAACUGUAGUUAAAGAUCGGGUUACCCGAAAGAGCCGUGGUGUAGCUUUUAUUCUCUUUGUUUGUAGAGAUGAUGCGGUUAAAGCUGUUAAAGGAAUUGACAAAAAAGUCCUUAAUGGACGGACUUUAACGGCGUCAAUUGCUUCGGAUAAUGGAAGGGCAGCUGAGUUUAUAAGGAAGAAAGUUUAUAAGGAUAAGAGUAGGUGUUAUGAGUGUGGUGAACAAGGACAUUUAUCUUAUGAGUGUCCGAAAAAUAAACUUGGUCCUAGAGAAAGACCCGAGCCCUCGAAGAAAGGGCGGAGAGGGAUAAAGAAUUAUGGGAGCAACAGUGGUGGUGGUGGUGGAAAGGGGGGUGGUGAGUUGGAGGAUGAGGAGGAGGAGGGGGAUGAUGAUGUGGCAGCGAGUUUUGAUGAUGAUAAUUGGGCGUCGGUGGUGGAUAGGGGAGCAGAGGAGAGGUUAUUGAAAGGAGAUAAUGAGGAAUUCAAGAAGGAGAAAAGGGGGGAGAAGAGAAAAGGUUAUUUUAGUGAUGAGAGUGAUGAGGAGGAUUGAUUUUUUUAUGGUGGAAUUAGAUGAGGAAAAAUGGGAGCCUUUAGCUUGUUUCUGAAGGUUUUGAGGAGUGGUUUUCAAUGGUGUUAAUUGAAAAGUUUUCAUUCCCUCCUUUUAUUGUCAAGUGUUAAUUGAUUUCAUUGGUAAAUACCAACAUGGUGCUGCAUCGUAUCUAUGAUUGUGGAACUAGAUAGUAAACGGGCAGGGCAGCCUGAUGCACUAAGCUCCCGCUAUGCGCAGGGUCCGGGGAAGGGCCGGACCACAAGGGAGGAACUAGAUAGUAGUUGUAUGUAUAUAGAAAUGUAGAACUUAUUUAGUUUAAGUUGAAAAAUGGGAGCUUUUACCUUGUUUCUGAAGUUGAGGAACGAUUUUCAGUGAUGUUAAUUGAAGUAAAAGAGAAGGUAACAUGGAAAAUAUUAGCUUUAACCAAUAGCUAGAGUACCCGAGGUUUGUGGUGAAGGAUUUGGAUCAUUUGGUUUUGGAGCAGCACAGAAACCUUUAUUCACGAGAUUGCAACAUGUUUGUUGUCAUUCUUGUCUCCCUUGUUCGUUCAUCAUUUUGGAUCAGGGGCUUGGAGCUCGCGAAGAUUUUAAGGUCCCUGUUAAGUUUUCAGAAUCGCUUCAAAGUUUUCUUCAUUGAAAUAGAGAGCUAUACUGUCACUCAGCAACAUGUUCAGGUACUCCGAGCAUGUCAAUACAAGCCAUUGGGCACUCCUGUUACUCUUGUGGAUUAACUGCUUGACAAGUUAGUUAGAUAGCUCUUUAUUUGAGGAUGAAACUAUGCAGAAUGUUGCCUGUAAUAUCAUAAUUACCAAAAGGCAAAUGCAAAGUUUUUUAAGCA